rnacentral:misc_RNA from 1 species
AUCGGUAGCUAAGUAAGGACUCUAGCGGCAACAUUUCUAUAUUUCUGCAGCAAAAUCCAUUUAGAUUCUGACUUCUAUUCCUUCCUUCAACAAGUGCUCUUUUACAGACUGAAUGGGUACCUCCUUCCUAUGGAAAAUGCCAGCAGCAAGAGCAGCAGAUGCAUUUGUUUUUGUGAACACCUCGGAGAAGUGUUCAACAGCACCUGCACCACUACUUGCAAUCACAGGGAUACUCACAGCAUCAGAGAUCAACUUUAUUAAAUCUAUAUCAAAUCCUUUCCCUUGACCAUCACAAUCAAUGCAGUUCAGCAAUAUUUCUC